UGAAUACGAGACGCUACGGCGUCGAAGCAGUCUAUGUCAUACUUCCAAGAAAAGCUUGCACUGUCAUAAACAAAUAAUGCCUGUACCAUAACCGACACAGGUGGGUAGGUAGAGUAUACUAAGGGGCGCGAGAUAACUCUCUCUAAGGAACUCGGCAAAAUGACUCCGUAACUUCGGGAGAAGGAGUGCCUUAUUCGUAAGGUUGCAAUAACAAGAUCCAAGCAACUGUUUAUCAAAAACACAGGUCUCCGCUAAGUCGUAAGACGAUGUAUGGGGGCUGACGCCUGCCCAGUGCCAGAAGGUUAAAGAAGUUGGUUAGCAUUCGCGAAGCUGAUAACUGAAGCCCUGGUGAACGGCGGCCGUAACAAUAACGGUCCUAAGGUAGCGAAAUUCCUUGUCGGGUAAGUUCCGACCCGCACGAAAGGCGUAAUGAUUUGGAUACUGUCUCGGAGAGAGGCUCGGUGAAAUAGACUUGUCUGUGAAGAUGCGGACUACCUGCACCUGGACAGAAAGACCCUAUGAAGCUUUACUGUAACUUGAAAUUGAAAUUGGACUUUAUUUGCGCAGUAUAGGUGGGAGGCGUUGAGAAUAUUCUUGCGGGAAUAUUGGAGCCAUCAGUGAGAUACCACUCUUGUAAUGUUAGAUUUCUAACUUUGGAUCAUUAUCUGGUCAAAGGACAGUUUCAGGCGGGCAGUUUGACUGGGGCGGUCGCCUCCCAAACGGUAACGGAGGCGUACAAAGGUUUCCUCUGAACGGGUAGAAAUCGUAUCUAGAGUGUAAAGGCAUAAGGAAGCUUGACUGUGAGACCUACAAGUCGAGCAGGGACGAAAGUCGGUCUUAGUGAUCUGACGGUGCUGAGUGGAAAGGCCGUCACUCAACGGAUAAAAGUUACUCUAAGGAUAACAGGCUGAUCUCCCCCAAGAGUUCACAUCGACGGGGAGGUUUGGCACCUCGAUGUCGGCUCAUCGCAUCCUGGGGCGGUAGUACGUCCCAAGGGUUGGGCUGUUCGCCCAUGUAAGCGGUACGCGAGCUGGGUUCAGAACGUCGUGAGACAGUUCGGUCCAUAUCCGGUGUAGGCGUUAGAAUAUUGAGAGGAGCCUUCUUUAGUACGAGAGGACCGAGAAGGACAUACCUCUGGUGUACCAGUUAUCGUGCCAACGGUAAACGCUGGGUAGCUAUGUAUGGAGAGGAUAACCGCUGAAAGCAUCUAAGUGGGAAGCCCACCUCAAGAUAAG
rnacentral:rRNA from 1 species